UGCCCCCAGGGGUGUAAUUCUGGUCCCUGUUAAGAACCACUGAGCCAAGAUUUUUUUUUUUAGGCAGGAGGAUAAUAGGGUUGAUUUGUGUUUCAGGAAAUUGACUCUGGUGAUCAGGUUGAAGACAGACUGGAAAGGAAAUUACAGACAGGAAAUGUAGCUCAGGAGGUGACUACAACAGUCCAGGUGAGAGGGAGUCAGGUCUUGCAUUAAGGCCAAGGUGGUAGAGAUGCAAUGGAGAUGAGCAAUUUAAAAUAUUCACAGAGAGAAAUCAAAGGACUUUCUAAUUAGGCAGUUAUGGGGUUUGGAGGAUAAAAUAAAAGCGAGGCCCAGCACAGUAGCUCAUGCCUGUAAUCCCAACACUUUGAGAGGCCAAGGCGGGAGAACUGCUUGAGCCCAGGAGUUCAAGACCAGCCUGGGCAACAGAUGAGACCUCAUCUCUACUACGAAAAAAACAAACAAACAAUUAGCCAGGCUUGGUGGCGCAAGCCUGUAGUCCCAGCUACUUAAAGGUUGAGGUCGAAGGAUGGCUUGAGCCCAGGAGGUUAAUGUUGCAAUGGGCCGGGAUCGUGCCACUACACUCCAGCACGGACAACAGAGUGAGACCCUGUCUUGAAAAUAAAGAGAGGAAGUUUUUUGCUUGGUUGAAAAUGGCUUAGAAGUCACUGGCAUAAACACAUCAGUUAGAAGCCAUAAGAACAGAGGAGGUGGCCCAGAGAAUAUGACUUGGAGAAUAAGAGAAGCAGAGAACUUAAUGAAACAAUGUGAAAAGGGUAAGCAGAGCAGAAGAAGGCAACAGAAGGACAAGGAGCUCCAGGAAGCAGAACCAGUAGGCUGGGUCUGGUUCCGAGGGACAGAGCUUUGAGGCAAGUGUGGAAGCAUAGGUGUAUGCAAACUUCCAUUCCUAUGACAGACAUGAUUGCAGAAUCCUCACUGUUGUGCAAGAGUGGAAAAACCCUGCUGCCAGGGUGCCCCAUAAAAGUCUGUAGGAAACAUAAAAGGGUAACACAGAUCAUCUGCAUACUAUUAAUAGUUCUCACUUUUGAGACACCUGGUGACAAUACACCAAAUCAUAGCUUCCCUGUGUGUCACCGAAACUGUCACUUCAAUGUUGCAUGGGGUCUAAGGUUUACCGCAUGCUCAUAAGCUGGGGACUUGUAAAAGCAAGGAUGGAACUCCCUCAUGAACAAAGGCUGCUGUGCUCCACUGGCUCUACCUAGGAACUGAACGCUCUGAACAAGUGGACCUUGGAAAAGACACCGGAUGGCUCUCCUAGAGUCCAUCCCUCUUCCUCUCUAUACUAGUAUCCUGAUUUUUCUCAGGGAUCUACCCUGGCCUUGAUAAAGUCUAUGAGCUAGGAGUAGGACCACAGCCCAUGCUCUAGGUCUGGGCCAAACUAACUUAAACCAAUCGGCACAUCCCAUCUCCUCACCCCACCUCACCCCCUAUCCAUGGUAACUAGGGUGGAACAGAAACAGUCAAAAACGGGGAAUGUAACUCCACACAAAUCAAUGCAAUGGAACGCGCUUUCAAUCUGCCAAGAGCUUGGAAAAAGCAGCUUUCUCACUCCAUCAAGAAAAACUACUGGGGCCAAGUAUGGUGGCUCAUGCCUGUAAUUCCAGCACUUUGGAAGGCCCAGGUGGGAGGACUGCUUGAGGCCAGGAGUUCUACAUCAGCCUAGGUAACAAAGCAAGAUCCCCAUCUCUACAAAAAAAUUUAAAAAAUUAGCCAGGCAUGGUGGUGUGUACUGUGGUCUCAGCUGCUUGGGAGACUGAAGCAGGAGGAUCUCUUGAGCCCAG
rnacentral:lncRNA from 1 species